CUCCAAGAGGGGCCCAUGUAGUAUUAGCUAGUUGGUGAGGUAACGGCUCACCAAGGCUUCGAUCGGUAACCGGCCUGAGAGGGCGAUCGGUCACACCGGAACUGAGACACGGUCCGGACUCCUACGGGAGGCAGCAGUGGGGAAUCUUGCGCAAUGGGCGAAAGCCUGACGCAGCAACGCCGCGUGGAGGAUGAAGGCCCUUGGGUUGUAAACUCCUGUCGGCUGGGAAGAAAUCGUUCGCGGUUAAUACCCGCGGGCGUUGACUGUACCAGCAAAGGAAGCCCCGGCUAACUCUGUGCCAGCAGCCGCGGUAAUACAGAGGGGGCCAGCGUUAUUCGGAAUUAUUGGGCGUAAAGGGCGCGUAGGCGGCCCUGCGUGUCUUCCGUGAAAUCCCUCGGCUUAACUGAGGACGUGCGGAAGAAACUGCGGGGCUCGAGUCCGGGGAGGGGGGGGGGGAAUUCCAGUGUAGCGGUGAAAUGUGUAGAGAUCGGGAGGAACACCGGUGGCGAAGGCGGGUCUCUGGGCAUUUCCUGACGCUGAGGCGCGAAAGCGUGGGGAGCAAACGGGAUUAGAUACCCUGGUAGUCCUAGCUGUAAACGAUGGGCACUUGGUGUAGCGGGUAUCGACCCCUGCUGUGCCGAAGCUAACGCAUUAAGUGCCCCGCCUGGGGAGUACGGUCGCAAGGCUGAA
rnacentral:rRNA from 1 species